CUUGACGACCAUAGAGCAUUGGAACCACCUGAUCCCAUCCCGAACUCAGUAGUGAAACGAUGCAUCGCCGAUGGUAGUGUGGGG
rnacentral:rRNA from 2 species